AUGCAUGAUAUAAAAAAAUAUAUAUACAUUUAUGUAUGUAUCUAUAUGAACAGAAUACUUGCGUAUUUUAAGUAUGCAUUUAUUUCAUACACAAUUAUGUGUUUGGUAGCAAAAGAACGCCAUCAUAUUAGUGGCACAAAUUAAGACAUGAGAUAUGAGUUCAGCUUUGACAAAAAAUUUCAACAUAUGAAAAUUGAAGAAAAAACUUUUUAAAUAGCAUUUUAUACUGUUUAUUAAUAUAAUGAGAUAAGAUUUUGAAUUUAACUUGAGAAAAAGAUUUUUUGGACUUGGUGAAUUUUUUAUUGAACUGCAGCCAUAUGAUAUGAGGUUCUACCGAGAGAUGAGUUCAACUAUGACAAAAAAUUUCAACAUAUGAAAAUUGAAGAAAAAACUUUUUAAAUAUCAUUUUAUACAGUUUAUUAAUAUAAUGAGAUAAGAUUUUGAAUUUAACUUGAGAAAAAGAUUUUUUUUGACUUGGUGAAUUUUUUAUUGAACUGCAGCCAUAUGAUAUGAGGUUCUACCGAGAGAUGAGUUCAACUUUGACAAAAAAUUUCAACAUAUGAAAAUUGAAGAAAAACCUUUUUAAUUAUCAUUUUAAACAGUUUAUUAAUAUAAUGAGAUAAGAUUUUGAAUUUAACUUGAGAAAAAGAUUUUUUGGACUUGGUGAAUUUUUUAUUGAACUUCAGCCAUAUGAUAUGAGGUUCUACCGAGAUAUGAGUUCAACAUUGAAAAAAUUUCAACAUAUGAAAAUUGAAGAAAAAAACUUUUUAAAUAUCAUUUUAUACAGUUUAUUAAUAUAAUGAGAUACGAUUUUGAAUUUAACUUGAGAAAAAAAUUUUUUGGACUUGGUGAAUUUUUUAUUGAACUGCAGCCAUAUGAUAUGAGGUUCUACCGAGAUAUGAGUUCAACUUUGACAAAAAUUUCAACAUAUGAAAAUUGUAGAAAAAACUUUUUAUAUAUCAUUUUAUACAGUUUUUUAAUAAAAUGAGAUAAGAUUUUGAAUUUAACUUGAGAAAAAAAUUUUUUGGACUUGGUGAAUUUUUUAUUGAACUGCAGCCAUAUGAUAUAAGGUUCUA